rnacentral:tRNA from 1 species
AAGUUGCAAUAAAAAAAGAAUUGUAAAUUCUUAAAAAAAAUAUUGCAUGUUG